CCUACGGGAGGCAGCAGUGGGGAAUAUUGCACAAUGGGGGAAACCCUGAUGCAGCGACGCCGCGUGAGUGAAGAAGUAUUUCGGUAUGUAAAGCUCUAUCAUCAGGGAAGAAAAUGACGGUAGCUGAUUAAGAAGCCCCGGCUAACUACGUGCCCGCAGCCGCGGUAAUACGUAGGGGGCAAGCGUUAUCAGGGUUUGCUGGGUGUAAAGGGAGCGUAGACGGCAGCACAGGGCUGGAGGGAAAUGCCGGGGCUUAACCCCUGAACUGCUGUGGAAACUGUGCAGCUAGAGUGCAGGAGAGGUAAGAGGAAUGCCUAGUGUAGCGGUGAAAUGCGUAGAUAUUAGGAGGAACACCAGUGGCGAAGGCGGCUUACUGGACUGUAACUGACGUUGAGGCUCGAAAGCGUGGGGAGCAAACAGGAUUAGAUACCCGGGUAGUC
rnacentral:rRNA from 1 species